rnacentral:misc_RNA from 1 species
UUUCGGUUGCGCAACAGUAUCCCUUAGCCAUCCCCUACCCCUACUCCAACAUCGUCUUCACCGUUUAAAGCAGCCCACCGCCUCUUCAGCUCCUCCCCAUUUCAGCCCUCCUCCUCUUCGUCGUCGUUUUCGCGCUCUCAGUAUUUCUGUCUUCUGCCCUCCUCCUUUUUCAACGCUCUGUGCUCCCCACCCUGAAAGGCUCAGCCCUCCGUUCCCUUCUUUCGUGCAAAACUCUGCCAUCAGCCUUUGCCGAGUCACUCCCGACCCCCACCCCGUUUCUCGCUCUCUCCAGUUCAGUGACUUUGCUUUUGUGCGUUCCUUUUUUUUUUUGGUGCCCUGCUUCUCGUUCAGUGUGUCUCGGACGUUGUGCUUCGAUUUGUGUGCCGUCUCAUUCUUGCACUUGCUUGGACGCGAUCUACGCACACACCAAACACAGACCGGAAGCAGUUUUGCGUGAUUCUCUUCGCGAACGCAACAGCAGAAAAGGACGCAACAGAAAAAAAAAACAUACCCAGCACAGAUCAUCAUGCAGCUCUCUCGCAUUCCGUCGUACGAGGAGGCCAGCGUGGCCGGCGCUGAGUACUCGGUGUCGCCCAUGUCCCCCCUAGCCCACCUGAGCAAGAAGAUCGACGUUACAAAGCUGAAGACGAAGGCGUGCCGCUACUUCCUCCUCGGUGUGACAUGCCCGUUCGGGGAUAGUUGUGCCUUCUCUCAUAGCGAACCUGUCUCCCCCGCCGCGUACGCGCCGGCACGGAUGGCUGCGAAGAGCUCCGCCAGCCUGAACUUCGAGGACCUUUCCAAGUCCGGGAGUGCCCAGCUGAGCGAUACGCAGUCUAAUGACGCCGCUGGUGACGUGUCUGAGCGCGUUGUGUUCGGACAGCCCCCGCCGGCCUACGAGGUCGCCCUCAAGGAGUCCGAGACCCUGGCGGCAGCGGCAGCGGCAGCUGAGGAGCUGGCGACCCCGCCGGCGUACCCCAAGCGCUUCCGCUUCGACCCCUACAGCGUGAACUGGAUCGCCUACGAGAAGACCGCGUAAGCAAACUUUUCUACCUCCGUGCUCCGUGUAAAAGUCUAAAGAAGACGCUAAUACUUCAGGAAUGACGAUCUAUAGUGAACUCACUGGAAGAGAGACCUCCAUUUUUCAAAUGGUGCACGAGGAGGAGCUCCUCCUCGUGCUCUCCCGCUCUCUCAACACUCCAGGGGCUCUCUUUCGUUAUUGGAAACUGCAUGUAUUCCGUCGAGAUGGGCGUUUCUGCGCCUCUUCUCUUCCCUGUCUCUUCACCCCCCCCCUUCUCCUCACCUGCGCCUCUCACUCUUUCUCUCUCUCUCGCUUUAUGAUCGUUUAAGGAAAGCUUUUUUUAUUAUUUCAUUUUAUUUAUUUGGCUUCUAUUUUGUAUUUUCUUAGCUCUUUAUUUCCACGCAUGCGUGUGUGUGUCUGUGUGUGGUCAUUUUGUUUUCGUUUUUUUUUUGGGGGGUUCGUUUUCGGUUCUAGUCUGUAACUGUGUUUUCCGUGCCUUUGGCUUUCCCUUGCAUUGCUUCUUCGUUCUUUGUUGUUUUCGCUUCUGUUUCACUUCCUCUGAGCCUUUGAUUUUUUUUAUUUUGCUUCGCCAUGUGGCAGAGAACGACGGCACACACGUAAACAAACUUGUUUCGCCUCGUGUCAAUUUUAGCCCCUGUCGCUCUGUGUAUGCUUUCUGCGUGCAGUCGCUUGUAUGCGUGUGGAGAGAGUACAUGGCUAACACGUGCGUCCUCAUCCGCAUGCGCAUACCCGGUCCAACGUCCAUGGAAGCACAUGCAUACAUUCUCGCUCCCUCUAUGUGGCUUUCUUUUCGUGUGGUUGCCUUGUUUUUUUCUGUUUUUGUGUACUUGUUUUAGUUCCUUGUUUGUUUAAGCACCGUUUUCUUUUGCUGUUCUUGCUUGUCGUGGUUGUUCCUGUCCCUGUCGCAGCCCGCUCUCACGACGCUACUUCCUCGCCUAUAUGCACCCCCCCCCCACUCUUCGCCUCUGUCUCCUUCAUCGCUUUUUCUUUCGGCGUUUGCAUGUGUGAUUGGUACGCUGCUGCAAAUGCGCUCCCACGCACAUGCGCACAAGCACGAGAAAAGCGACGGCCUCUACGCGCAGGUGUACACCUGCUUAUUGGUGCAGCAAUUUUCUAGUCCUACCUCACUUGAAAAUAUGUGCGCUGGUAGUUUCCUGUGAAAAAAAAAGGCCGCCCUCGCUUUUCUUUUUUUUUUCUAUUCGCCGAAUGUGCAUGUGGGCGAAGGAGUGAUGGAGGUAAGGAGGACGGCGCGCAUGUGGGCGGUGCUUUGCCGCUUUUCCAUCACCGUGCGUUUCCGCUCGCUGCUGUAGUUGGGUAUCUUCUCCUGCGCCCGUCCUCUGUGCUCUACACAGAGCUCUCUUCUUCGUCUUGUGGUGGAUCAUCACUUUUGCCGACCGGGUGCUGCGUGCGCACUGCGUCUGCUCGAGCAGUCCACCAACCCUUUCUGUCUUCCAUUUUUGAAUGAUCAUUUCUUCUUUCUGACAUUCGGUUUCCGAUGGUGACUCUCUCUGUUUUCAAGGAUGUCUGUGUUGUCCAUGACUCGCUCGCAAGUGAUGAGGGAGUAGGCGGAGCAGUUGCGUGUUCUUAUGGGGUGCAUGUGUGCGCGCUGAUGACCUGCGCGUAGGCGAGUGACGGUUGCAUCUGUGCCUAUCAAUAUAUCCUAUCACCGUUCUCGCGACUGCAAAAUACAUAUGCAUAGAGAGAGAGCUACACCGCCUGCUCUCCCCCCCUCCGUUUUUUUUUCUCCUCGGACUGUGAGCUCAGCUUCGUCAAUGAGACAUUCUUUUUUUCUUGUUUGUUUCUUUGUUUGACUGAAUGCGGCUUGUGUGUCGUUUUUUUUUGCUCUGCACUUUCCUCAACUCAGCUGAGUGGCUCUCUCGUUCGCCUUUGGCUCCGCCAUGUGUCUUGUCAGGGAAGGUGAGAAGGAGCUUGUGGUUCGCUCUGAGGGCGCCGCGACAACGUUGCUCUGCUCGAUAGAUGAGGGACUGAUGGAGGUCGCAGCUCGUAGAUGGCCGUGCUCGCCUUUUCACUCAAGCUGGAUCGUCCUCCCCCUCCCUUUCUACCACUGCGGCAGCUUGGUCCUCUAUCAAAACGUCCACUAUAUGCGCCCUACUUCUUUUUGUUCGAGCUGAUGAGUCGCGCUGCAUUGUUUUCCUCUUUCUAUGCACCAACCCGACCGUUUUCAUAAGCGAGAACACGCGCAAGGAGGAGGGCGACAACCGCGUCGAUGCCAUUAUACAAUGAAUUUUUGUUGUCUUCUUUUUUUUUUUCAUUUUUGCUGUGUGCUCUGCGUUUUUUUUUUCUCUUCGUGGGUGGGUGGAGUAUGUGCGGGCGUCGACGGUGAUCUCCGUUUUGUUUGUUUUUUUUUCUAUCCGCCUCGGUGCCUACUUUGCGUUAUCGCAUGCGAGAGAUCAAAGAAGCAACCGAAACAAUCAGUCGACGACGUCGUCCGCACACUGCGCGGAGGACGUGAAUCGUGAUUUACCACCCACCCACUCUUUUUCGAAACUGCCGGCCUCCGUCUCUUCGCCGCUCCCUGUCUCCUCUCUUUUAUCGCCGUUCUCUCCUCCUGCUCUAACCUCCUGCUGUGAGGAUCGUUUUACGCACGGAAGGCGGAGGGACAAAAAAAAGGUAGGGAUGCUGCAUUGACGGUCCAUCAGCCGGGAAGUUGUUCUCUCUUCUGUUUUUUUUUUUUCGCCUGUAGUUGGCUUCCGUUGUGCUUUCUCGAACACAAGCAAAGGCCGAACGGCGAAAAAGAAAAACACACACUUGAGUUACAUGAGUGACUUCGAAGCAGAUUGCUCAAGCAGAAUUGCAAUCAUGUAAACACAGUGCUUGCACUCUGCCAUGUUUUAAGGCCUCCGGAACGAACAGUCGAAAACAAGAGAAACGUUACGCACCAUAGCAGCCAACGCACGCGGUUCUUGUGGGAAGUAGUGGCGAUGCGGUAGCAGAAUCGUAAGAGUGGUCACCGCAACGACAGUGACUGCCACACGUGCCCACUCGAGGACAACGGGAGCACUAAACAGAGAUUCGAAAACAGACACACACCAAAUUCGUACCUUCAAGGAGACAGUGACACGCAGCACGCAUCAACGAUAGCACAAAAAGGUGAAAAGUCUCAGAGACAGGGAGGAGUGAGGACUCAAAAAGCAGCGAAAAGGAAAAGAAAGGGGACGGGCAGGGAGUUUAUUCGGUUCUCAGUGUUCUUCAAACUUGCCUCCUUCGCCUCCUCUCUUCAUGAUCACUAUUUCCACUUCGCACAUUUUCUCUCUUCCGCUCAGCGCGCACUCACCUCAGUGUCUCUCCUGGAGCGGUUCCACUGGUGAGAGCUCUCUUUUUCUUUGCCCCCCCCUCUCCUGCUUUGUUGACGCUUGCUGUCUUCUGCCCUUUUUCCUGUUGGUCUGUUGGUGUGUUUGGUUUCGUCUCCGUUUUUUUUUUCCGUCACUUCUCUCUUUUUCUUUGCAUUGUUACAUCAAUUUUUCUUUCCGUUCUCCUCCUCUCUCCACUUCAUAUCUCUGUGGUUGUUUUCGAUUUUUUUUUGGUUUGUACCCCCUUCCUUUUUUGUUUGCCUCACAGCUUACGAGACUGGUUCCGUUUUCGUUUUUUUUUGGUUUCGUUUGCUCGUUUUCCGCCUUUCCCUAGCACCCUUUUGUGUCCCUGUGCCUUUCGCACUCCCUCACUCUCUUGCUCUCUCCUUCGCUUGUGUGUGUGUGUGUUGUUUUGUGUUUUCGCCUCUUCUUGUUGCUGUUUCGCUCGUAGCUUUCGAUGCUUGUUCCCUUCCCACCACUCAUAUUGUCUCUCCUGAUUUUUUUGUUCGUUUUUUUUUGCUUGCUUGUUUUCGCCUUCUUCCGUUCUUUUUUGUUGUCCGUCCUUCCCUGAGGUUUCGCUUGCGUGCUUCAUCCUCCCUUUCAUGUAUCUUUAUUUUUGUGUGUGUUCGUCAUUUCGUUUUGCCUUGCAAGCCUCACUUUCACUUGCCCUUUUUGUGUGUUGUUGUUUGAUGGUAAGAACAAAAACAAAAAGCGGAAAAAAGGCAACCACGAUAUAUAUAUGCAUGUAUAUAACGUAUAUCUAUAUAUCUAUAUAUAUAUAUACACACACACGUACACACACGUCUUCUCUCUUUCUUGUUGUUUGACUUCUCUGAAAUACCGUGCACGUUCGAAACAGGUGGGAGAAGCGAAUAAAAAAAAAGGAACGUUAAGAGAAGGCGCAAAAAGAAACUCAGAAUUUUUCUUGUCUCAUACCUCUCCCCUCCCCCUUCCACACACACACACACACACGCACUUUCUCUCGGCCCAUUAGUCACGCUUCACUCAUGUUUGUAUGUCUGCAUGUGAUUUUUGUCAUGUAGCGCCCGCCAAGGUCACAUGCCUGGUGGCGAAGCGUCUUGCAGCAGCUCUGAACUUCAUUCCCUCUGCGCAGCGAGCCACACCGACCGCAAAUUCGUAUAUAUUCGGGCAGUGAGGGCAUUCUCCGGAACGGUAAAAAUGUUUGUUAUCUGCCGAGUUGAAUCUGGAAGGGACAAGCCUCCUUAUGUGGCGUGAGCAAUGACAAGGCACGCGACGGUGGCGAAGGGAGGGAGACAGGCACAGCAGUGAGUAGACGAGAGCGGACCCUUUUGCGUUGGUGCAGCGAAGCAGCAAAAAAAAAAAGCAAAGGCGUUCGCACUCAGAGAUCGGCUUGCUCGCAUCCAACGGAGGACCGAAUUCACGAAAAGAAAUACGCAUCUCCUGUUUCUGUUGUGUGUGUGUGUGUGUGCGUGUGUGUGUGUGUAAGCUUUCUUGUUUAUCGCUUUCGGUUCGCGCUCUAUUUUGCAUGUUCCUUGCUUUUCUGUAUGCUGUUGUUCUCUUGAUCUUUUCUUGAGAAAGUGCAGCCGCCAUGAAACAAACACCAGAGAGUAGGUCUUUCCCCUCCCACUACCACCACCACCACCACUGGAUCACCUCUUUCUUCAUCUAGCCCCCUUCUUUUUCGCCUCCCUUUCAGCAAACCCGUUCCGAGAACUUGACAAGAAGCAUAUACACACAUACUCCCUCAUACGCAAUCUUGUGGCGCUGUUUGUUUGCCCUUCUCUCAGUAUAGAUUUUAUGCGAUUAAUCAGUCCUUCCCUCCAUGAUGCAGCUGAUUAGUCUUUCCUGAAUACGACCUCCUGUUACCCCUUCCCCCUCCCCCCUCCCUCUCUGUUUGUCUGGGUAUGCGCCCAUGAAAUGUGAUCGCCCGCAAUUUUUCUUUCUUUGUGCGGUGCUCUUGCCUUUUUGAUGUGUGUGGCUUGUAUGACCUUUUCCGUCGUUCUCGAGGAUAUGCCAAAGACAGGUGGAGAGGUGGGGCCAAAAUGGGGUGGGUGCAGGGUGCCACGGAUCGUACCUGCUUUCUUUUUUUUUCGUUGUUUUGCUGACUUCAAUAACGCUGGCCCACCCCCUCGCUCUCUUUCCCACGACGUACAAUGGCAAAGCAAAAAAAACAUACGCUGGUGAAGCCCAUCAAGAAAAAUGAGGUGAGUGUGGCGGUGGCUAGUAGUGGUUGGCGGUGGUGAUGGCGUUGCCAAAAGAAAAAUGGAAACAGGCACCGAAGAAGGCAUGAAAGGACGUGCUGCAAGACAAAAAGAAGACAAACAUCGCUGGUGACCGCAAUGCUGGGACUCAGCGACGUCACGAAAAGAAGAACGCGAGAUACUGAGGAAGGGAAAGAACAACGAAAAAAACACACAAAAAAAAACGGAGAGAUUGCACUCGAAAAAAAAGAAAAAGAGGCGCACUUCGUUUGCUCUUCGGACUCUAUCUUCGUAACUCUCUUUUUUUCUUCUGUGCCUCAGACGUCUUUUGUCUUUUUUACGUUUCCCCUUUCUUUUCAGUGAUGCUGCUCGUCUUCCUUCUUCUUUUCGGCUCCUCCAUGCCAUGAGAAUCGUGGGCACGGGUUCGAUGAGUCUCGUAUCACCAGUGAACUUUCCGCUGCACAUCUUCUUUUUUGUUUUUCGUCUUCUUCGCUUUUGUUCUCUCUCGGUUGCUCCCGCUGUCGUUUUAGCGGACUGGAGCGUGCUGGAGUUUUUUUUUCUUCUCUUUGUUUGGCAUGUGCACCUUCAUUUCCAUGGUUUGCACGUGAUCCAGAAGGAGGACUUACGGCACGCAGUGCGUUCGGGGAGCACGCAUGGACACAGCAUACAAGAAAAAAGAAUCAAUGACUCAUGGCGGGUCCAUUGUUGAGGCUAUACGACAAACGGAAGAGGCGGGCGAAAGACGUUUUACGAAAAAAAAAGAAAAGAUGUCGUCGAUCAUGGGCGAUAGUCGGCGCGCUUUGUGCGAAACACACACACACACAAAAGGUGACUUCGGAACUUUUUCCACCUCACCACGACACGCCCCAGUUCGCUGCCGAAAACAACAAUGACAAGACCCUCUCUCUUCAAAGACUAUCUUACAUGCUUUUUUUUUUUACGCCUUCUUUCGUAGUUUCUACUGUUGGCAAGCCUUCUCUCCUUGUUCUCUUCCCUUCGUGUCUUUUCCAUAUGUAUGUAUGUAGUUUUGCUUUUAUUCGGCUCUUUUUUUUUGUGUUUCGGUUCUUCGUUUUUUGUCGUUUCCGUAUUAAGACAAGAAAAAAAAAGAGGAAAGGCCACAUGGCAUGCUGAGAGCUACCCGUCUUUGCGAAGAGGGCGCGCAUAUGUCGAUGAAUCAACGCCUCCAUCGUCCCCUUCGUCUUUUCACCCGUGCGUGCGUGUACGGGAAGCGGAUUCGAUGUGCCAACAUCUUGCGGCCGCGCGGUGCACGUGCAGCGCAAGUCGGGGGAGGCUACGGUCAAAUGUUUUGGCCUACAAUGUGUGCUCCUUACCUCCGACUAGGGAGGCUGAUGGUGCUGUGGCGCGCACAAUCACACAUUGCUCGAGAGUUUGAAGGAGUGCGAGUCGUGGAUGAACUCACUUUCUUCUUACAUAGGGCAUGCUACGGCAAUGCCCUCGGGAAAGAAAAAAGCGUCCACUUCGUGUAGCGCAUGUAGUUGUGCGGCGUAGGUCUCUGUUGUGACGCUGUUCUCAUCCAUUCGUGUUCCUGCAUCGCUCUCGUCAUCGUCUCUCUCUUGUUUCUUCUUGUGUGCAUCCCCACUUCACCACAAG